rnacentral:rRNA from 1 species
CAGUCGCCACGGUAAUACGGAGGGGGCUAGCGUUGUUCGGAAUUACUGGGCGUAAAGCGCACGUAGGCGGCUUGGUAAGUUAGAGGUGAAAGCCCGGAGCUCAACUCCGGAAUUGCCUUUAAGACUGCCGAGCUAGUAGGUGAGAGAGGUAAGUGGAAUUCCGAGUGUAGAGGUGAAAUUCGUAGAUAUUCGGAAGAACACCAGUGGCGAAGGCGACUCGCUGGACAAGUAUUGACGCUGAGGUGCGAAAGCGUGGGGAGCAAACAGGAUUAGAUACCCCUGUAGUCCCUGUCUCUUAUAC